GGGAAGGGGCGGGCCGGUCGGCGGGGGCGGGGUCGGCUGCGAGUCUGCGCCGGUGCCGCCGGCCUCUGCUGGGCCUCGGCCGUGGUAGGGGUCGACGGGCGGGGCGCGGAAGCCUUGCUCCCCCGAGGCCGCCCGAGCGGACACCUCCCCGGCGGCGAGCGAGGGGCUGAGUGGGGCGCGCGGAUGGGCGGGGCGGGAGGGGGAGGUUGUGCCCGGGGGCUCCGCGCCUCGCCCGGCCGCCGGCUCGCGGGGACGGGGACAGCGUCGCCCGCGGCCUUGCCGGGCCCCGGGCGCGGGCCGCCCUCCGGGGUCCCCAGCGGAGGAAGGGCAGGCCCUGUGUCCUCAGGGCUGAGGGCGACUACGCCGCUUCGGAAACUGAAGACUGCCUGAAAAACACGUUGCCCUGGGGACUCACACUCCCGGGCCUGUAUUCAGGGAGUCCCUCCUGCUCACCUUGCAUUUCCAUUUUUUUCGUUCUAUAUUCUGAAAUUCUCACGUGCCUACCAGUCGUUAGAGAAAUUGUUCCUGUUAACGGUAAUAGAAGAGAACAUACUUCAUAGCACUUUGUAAAAAUUUUGAGUUUCAUAACUUGAACUAUUCCUAAUAUUUAAGACGACCUCUGACCUGUUGAUUUAUAGUAAGGCUAUUUCAGUAAUAUGCUCUGUGAGCACCAUAGAAGAGUGGGAUAUUUUUAAGAGAUUUGGACUGGAAAUACGAAAUACAGGUCUUAGAUAUCCAGUAUUUGCUGCGAGCCAGUGAGCUAAAAAAUUAGUCCCUGCCUUCAAAAACCUUACGGUUUUUAAUAGAAAAAUAUUACGUAAAAUUAUUAACACUAGGCAGAAAGUGAUUAGACACCAAAUAAUUUUUUUACAAAAAACUAUUACUCUGGGAUGAUGAACUUUUUCCAGUGUUUCUCAAACUGGGAUUCUAGAUCUGGAGAUAAGAAUCAGAGUUAUUUGAUACUUUAAAUUUUUUUAAAUUUAAUUGGAAUAUAGCAUUGCAUUGUAGUCGUUUGUACCAGUUGUAAAGACAAGUUUUCUUUCAAAAUGAUAAUUUACAAGUGAAAGAGAUUUUUAUAGAAUUGAGCUUCGGUUUUCUUUUAUCAGUGCUUUUCAACCUGGCCUGUGGACCUCUAACUACCCCUAGGAUGUAUUCUCUAGAAUCCUAAGAAUUUCGUUUUGCGUCACUCAGGGAAUUCUGGUUAAAGCAGGCUUACUUUCUAAAACAUGGCCCCGAGACGGAAGCCAGCUCUUGCGCCAGACUCAGCUGGAGAGACGAGGAGAGCGCACUCGUGCUGUGCUGGAGAGAAACCAGCUGUGAGCGCAGCAGGAAGAUUUUCCUGGGAGGGCCUUGCUCAGAACAGGUGAAUCAGUUGGGAGUUGCAGUCAUCCCUGAGUAAGAAGCCUGCAAACAAGGGUUAUUUUUGUCAUGUGUGUCAGUGGUAGGCAGUCUAGGCAGGCCUCAUUUGUCCACUUAUAAUGUUGUAAGAACAUGAGACUUUGUGUUUUCCUGUUCUGCCAGUCUUAAUCUGUGCUCAUCAGCUGGUGAUUAGCUGCUUCACCUCAAGUGUUGUAGGUCUGCUUUGGUACAAGUAAUAGGAAGAAGAAAAGAAAGCCUGUCAGCUGAGCUGGCCUUCCUUAAAAAACAGAUUUUCUGGAACCACUCCUAAUAUGUCCCCUUAAGCCUGAUUGGCCAACCUGUGUUACACGGCCACUCCUAUCUGCACGGUGGCUGCACUGUGUCGGGAAGGCCGCCAGCAUGUAGCACUGGGGGGCUGCGGCCAAGGUCAGGAAGAGCGUGUGGGUGGCGCCUGGCCCUGGGAGGUGCUGAAAAGCUGGUAGCUCUUAUUUGUUAGAAAACAAUGAAACUAGUGGUGAUGUCUCCAAAUUUCUUCCGUAGUAAUUAUGAAAAGUAUUUUCAGACAUGUAAAGAACUAAUUAUGAUAAUAAAAUAAUUUUUAGUAGAAAAAAAUUUUUACUAAACUCUGCUUGGCACUGAAAUAUCAGGGUGGCAGCUUUAAAAACUCAUUUGAUUAACCAGAUUAUCAUUGGACAACAGUCUAUCAUUUAUGAAUGUGCACUGCAGUCUCAAAAUUUUUCAAUAUAAAUGACCUUUUUCUCCAUGUUUUAUGAGUUGGAAACUAUUUGUCUAUUGUACUUAAUUAUCAUGAACAAUAUUUUAUCAUAACUAAAGGGUGUUCAAAUUGGUGACACCAUGUUCAGAAAAUAACAUCUGAUGGACCAUUAAAAUAUUGCCACAAAUAUGUAUUAGUAUUAUUCAUAUAUUGGUAAGUAAGAUCUUGUCCUUCAAAACAUGGAGAUCAUUAGGUUUCUGAUUUCACCUGCAAGAAUUCCCAGUUUGCUAUAGGUGUUAGUAUAAAAAUGGCAAUACCAGUAGUUUUAUGUAAGGUACUUAAUUUUGUGGAAUGACAAGAAAAAAGAUGAAUAUGCAUUUUAUAAGAAAAUUGACCAUUUUUCACAUGAAAAAUUUUAAAUAUUAGCAGAAUUUCAUAGAUAUAAAAAUACCUAGAUCUAACAUCCGCCUCCUACAUGUGACACAUCAUGUACCCAUCAAACCCCAUGAUAAAACAAAACAUUGAAGCAUGAUCCAAUAUUGUGUUAAGUGAAUUUUUAUUAAAUAGACUGUUGUAAAUAAGUAUCUUUAAAAUUAACUAAAUAUGAGAGGUGUGUGUGCUUGUGUGUGUCAUAAAAGGAAGGGAACUAAUCAUUUUUAAAGUCCAUUAGGAAUCAUUAUGCUUAGUGUUUUGCAAAUGCUCAUAUCUUUCAGUUUUUACAACUCUAAACAGUCAUCACUGCAGUGGGCGAAUGACGUGGGAGGGAGACGACCUUGCUGGGUAGGGCCAGCACCCAACAGGGCUCUGCCUUGGUGUCCACCAGGCUCUGCAGCUAUAUGCUGACACCCUGACCGGGUUAUUGUCUCACGAAUAGGCUUAGCCCCCUAGUUUUUCAUGGAGCAACCAAAAGAUAAGCCCAAGACAAAGAGAACUGACUGGACUCAAUACUCAAGAUCCAGGGCAUCUCCCCAUUUUAGGAGAGUGCAAGCAGUCACCAAUAUUUCAAGUAGAUCAGGAGGGUCCAACGUGUUUCCUUCAGUACGUGAACCCCAGGAUUUUAGCAUGACAUACAGGCUCUUGGAAUCAAUUCUAUCACCCAGCCUCCCUCGCAUCCUGUGUUUGCUGGUCUUGGGAUGGGAGCAGAGUGAUGUAUGCUCUUUGGGGCUGUAAAUUUAAGGGGAAAGAGCAUGUAUCUCCCCACCUUUUCUCCAUUUUGCUGCUAAACGUAUCUGGACAUCUUGAUGUCCAUGAUGACAAGGGCCACACUCAAGGACAGCAGAGUAGUAAGACAGCAGAAGCCAGUGUUCUGGCCACUGCAGAGCUGCCAUAUGGCUUUGGACCGCCUGCACUUACGUUCUAAUAUUGUUUUGUGUCAGGACAGCCAAACAACAGCAGAGAACAGGAAAGUCUGUCAAUUGUUUAACAAUGAAGUUUUUCAGAAGUACCUUAGGUUUAAACCCAUGGACCUAAUCUAUGCUUUCCCCGAGGAGGCACCAGCCUUGGUUCCAAGCUGUGACCUCAAGAUUACUCCCUUCCUGUAUGGCCACAAGUGCUGAACACUGCCCCAGCCAGCUGCGGGAACAGAGCCCCCUUCUGCGGUCUGACACGGGGCCAUCAGCUCCAACACAGGCCUCCUAGAGCCUUGCCUAGAAAAGUUUGAUCAUGUGGUGGCAUAUGUGGUCACUCCUGGCUUCCGAUGGAAGUAAGAACUGGAGACUUAGACGUCAGAGACCACUACACUACAAUGAACAAGGGGCACCCUGUCUGACCCUAAAAGCCACUGAGAUGACCACUGACUCAGUGCUAUGCAGAUCUUUCUCUGGCGAGUAUGAACUUUAGCCUGAGAUCAGCAUUUACAAAACUCCCUGUGCUAACAUGAAGAAUGACUUUAUUAUGAGAUAUCACUCAUUCUGGGUACCAUAUGCACCCUGUAGAUUUUCUCAAUACUGCAAUAAUUCCAAGACCAAUAAAUACAUUCUAUUUCUGUUUCUCAUUUUCUUGGUAUUUUUUUUGGCUGUGAUAAAAUAUACAUUACACAUAGUUUACUAUUAUAACCAUUUUUAAGUACACAAUUCAGUGGUAUUAAGUAUAUUCUUGUUGCCAUGCAACCACCACCCCUCUCCAUCACCAGAACUUCAUCAUCCCAAACACAAACACUGUAUGCAUUCAGCACUGACUCCCCACUGCUUCCGCUUCCUAUAUCUUGGCGACCACUAUUCUACGUUCUGUCUCUAUGAAACUAUUCUAGGUGCCUCAUAUAGGUAUGAGGAAUGAUAUCAUACAAUAUUUGACUUCCUGUGUCUUGCUUAUUUCACUUAGCAUGAUGUGUUCACGGUUCAUCCGUGUUGUGACACGUGCAAGAUUUCAUUCCUUUUGGAAGCUGAAUAACAUUCCAUUGCAUGGGAAAACCACAUUGCUUACCCAUUCAUCCUUUGAUGGAUAUGUGGGUUGCUUCCAUCUUUUGGCUACCUAAAACCUUUGCUGCUGUGAACAACUGGGUUCUAUAAGUAUCUGUUCAAGUCCCUAUUUUCAAUUAUUUUGGGUAUAUAUCUAGAAGUGGAAUUUGCUGCAUUAUGUAGUAAUUCUGUUUAAUUUUUUAAAGAACCACCAUACUAUUUUCCACAGCAACUGCACAAUUUUAUGUUCCUAUCAGUAAUGUUCAAGGAAUCCAGUUUCUCCACAUCCAUGCCAACAUUUAUUAUUUUCUGCUUUUUAUUCUUUAUGUAGCCAUCCUAAUGGGUGUUAAGUCAUAUCUGCUUUUCAUUUCUAAUGUCCUCAAUCUAUUAGAAUUUCAGAAACCCCUUCCAGUCAGUUCUAGUGUAACUCUUUUAGCCCAAUGGCAUUCCUUGACAAAGUAGUUAAUGGAGGAGUCAGGUGUGGGAUGGACUUUCAAGGUCACCUUGUCUACUGGUUUUCACACUUCCUUCCUCAAAGCUCCUUCCCCAGUUUUCAACCAAACUACUUCUGACUCUGACUUCAUCCAUUUUACAUAGUAUGUGUCCAGGUAAGUUUGUUUGGUAAUAGAGUUCCUCAGCUUAAAAGAUUGAAAACUUAGAUCCAACACAUAUUCUCUAAGGUUCAGAGAGACCACGUGACUCUCCCAAGGCCUUCCAGCAAGGCAGCAGCAGAGGCAGGAUUUAAACAGGAAUCCAGUGAGGCAGGAAGUAUGCCUGCUGCAGUCUUGACACACGUUCUUUCGAUUACUCAUUUCCUCGACAUGUAUCACACACACAGUCUAACUGCAAAGGAGAAUUCACUUUCAGAAUAGACUGGUUGGUCUUGAUCCCCCACCAGUUUGAUGAGGAGGAUGGUGAGGAGUCAGAGGAAAGAGAUCUGCUCUGGUCGCCUUUAACAAACAUCACAGAGCUGGGGUCAUACAGCACACAGGCCUCCCAGACUGGCUCCUUUGACUGAGGCAUGUGUACCUAAGAUCGCUCCAUUCCUUUUUCACUAGAUGAUAGCCCAUUUGUUUUUAGCACUGGAUAAUAAUAGUCCACUGUCUAGACGGACCAGGUUAUUUAUCCAUCGCCUAUAAAGGGCAUCUUGGUUGCUUCUAAGUUUUGGCAAUUAUAAAUAAGGCUGCUAUAAACAUCUGUGUUUGGGUUCUCAUGUGGCCGUAGGUUUGCAACUCCUCUGGGUAAAUACCAAGGAGUGGAGCCAGAUGGCUAGACUGUAUGGUAAGAGAAUGUUUAUUUUUGUGAGAAACUGCCAAACUGUGCCAUUUUGCAUUUCCCCCAGCAAAGUGCAAGAGUUCCUGUUGCUCCACAUCUUCACUGGCAUUUGGUGCUUUCAGUGGUCUGGACUGUGGCCAUUCUAAUAGGUGUGUCGUGAUAUCUCAUUAUUUUAAUUUGCAUUACAUUUCAUUUUUAAAUUAUGUUUCCCAGCUUCUUUAUAGA